CGGCAAUAUUCGUUCCCACCGGUUUUAUCAAUCCAUUGACUGGUUGGAGCUGGAGGCCGGCAGAUUAGAUCCCCCUUAGUAACUGCGGUAAUUACACUGACCAUUAAAACUGUGGCUAAGUAUAAGUCUGAUGAUUUAACAGACCGUGUUUGUAAAAAAAGAUAAGCAAGACAACAAAGGUCCUGAGGUAUAAUAUUAGAUGACAAAAAAAGUAAAUUAAUUGCCUAAACCAUUGUAAACUAGGUGCAAAAUGGUCUUAAACCAAACCAAGAACUAUUAGAUGUAUUUUCUUUCAUGUCUAUUUUAUUUGUGGUCAUUUAGACCGGAAUAUUACCACUAUACUGUAACAUGUUGCAACUGAUGGUUAGAUAGAAGACUUAGGUACAUUACAGGAAAUUUGUUUUUUUUUGUUUUUAAAAAAGACAAGCCAGUUACAGCAGCGUUGUAUCUUCUCCUGUAGCCACAGCUGGACUGUCCUUUACCAUCUGGGACACAGGAGAAUCCCCUGUCUUCAACAGAGGCCUUCAAGACACCUAUUGGCUCAGAAGAUCAAAAGUUUUUGAAGGGUUCUCAUUUGUC